rnacentral:rRNA from 1 species
UACGGGGGGAGCAAGCGUUGUUCGGAUUUACUGGGCGUAAAGGGCGCGUAGGCGGUCAGACCAAGUCAGUUGUGAAAUCUCCGGGCUUAACUCGGAAAGGUCAACUGAUACUGUGCGACUAGAGUGCAGAAGGGGCAACUGGAAUUCUCGGUGUAGCGGUGAAAUGCGUAGAUAUCGAGAGGAACACCUGCGGCGAAGGCGGGUUGCUGGGCUGACACUGACGCUGAGGCGCGAAAGCCAGGGGAGCGAACGGG